CGCUAGCUACAGGCUUAACACAUGCAAGUCGAGGGGCAGCAUUUCAGUUUGCUUGCAAACUGGAGAUGGCGACCGGCGCACGGGUGAGUAACACGUAUCCAACCUGCCGAUAACUCGGGGAUAGCCUUUCGAAAGAAAGAUUAAUACCCGAUGGUAUAAUCAGACCGCAUGGUCUUGUUAUUAAAGAAUUUCGGUUAUCGAUGGGGAUGCGUUCCAUUAGGCAGUUGGUGAGGUAACGGCUCACCAAACCUUCGAUGGAUAGGGGUUCUGAGAGGAAGGUCCCCCACAUUGGAACUGAGACGCGGUCCAAACUCCUACGGGAGGCAGCAGUGAGGAAUAUUGGUCAAUGGGCGCAGGCCUGAACCAGCCAAGUAGCGUGAAGGAUGACUGCCCUAUGGGUUGUAAACUUCUUUUAUAUGGGAAUAAAGUUUUCCACGUGUGGAAUUUUGUAUGUACCAUAUGAAUAAGGAUCGGCUAACUCCGUGCCAGCAGCCGCGGUAAUACGGAGGAUCCGAGCGUUAUCCGGAUUUAUUGGGUUUAAAGGGAGCGUAGGUGGACAGUUAAGUCAGUUGUGAAAGUUUGCGGCUCAACCGUAAAAUUGCAGUUGAUACUGGCGACCUUGAGUGCAACAGAGGUAGGCGGAAUUCGUGGUGUAGCGGUGAAAUGCUUAGAUAUCACGAAGAACUCCGAUUGCGAAGGCAGCUUACUGGAUUGUAACUGACGCUGAUGCUCGAAAGUGUGGGUAUCAAACAGGAUUAGAUACCCUGGUAGUCCACACAGUAAACGAUGAAUACUCGCUGUUGGCGAUAUACAGUCAGCGGCCAAGCGAAAGCAUUAAGUAUUCCACCUGGGGAGUACGCCGGCAACGGUGAAACUCAAAGGAAUUGACGGGGGCCCGCACAAGCGGAGGAACAUGUGGUUUAAUUCGAUGAUACGCGAGGAACCUUACCCGGGCUUAAAUUGCAACUGACUGAACCGGAAACGGUUCUUUCUUCGGACAGUUGUGAAGGUGCUGCAUGGUUGUCGUCAGCUCGUGCCGUGAGGUGUCGGCUUAAGUGCCAUAACGAGCGCAACCCUUACGGGUAGUUACCAUCAGGUUAUGCUGGGGACUCUACCCGGACUGCCGUCGUAAGAUGUGAGGAAGGUGGGGAUGACGUCAAAUCAGCACGGCCCUUACGUCCGGGGCUACACACGUGUUACAAUGGGGGGUACAGAAGGCAGCUACACGGCGACGUGGUGCUAAUCCCGAAAGCCUCUCUCAGUUCGGAUUGGAGUCUGCAACCCGACUCCAUGAAGCUGGAUUCGCUAGUAAUCGCGCAUCAGCCACGGCGCGGUGAAUACGUUCCCGGGCCUUGUACACACCGCCCGUCAAGCCAUGAAAGCCGGGGGUACCUGAAGUACGUAACCGCGAGGAGCGUCCUAGGGUAAAACUGGUGAUUGGGGCUAA
rnacentral:rRNA from 1 species